rnacentral:misc_RNA from 1 species
GGUUCGAUCAUGGCUCAGAUUGAACGCUGGCGGGAUGCUUUACACAUGAAGUCGAACGGCAGCACGGACUUCGGUCUGGUGGCGAGUGGCGAACAGGUGAGUAAUGUAUCGGAACGUACCCCUAGUAGCGGGGGAUAACUACGCGCGAAAGCGUAGCUAAUACCGCAUACGCCCUUCAGGGGAAAGCGGGGGACCUUCGGGCCUCGCUAUUAAACGGCCGAUAUCGGAUUAGCUAGUUGGUGGGGUAACGGCUCACCAAGGCGACGAUCCGUAGCUGGUUUGAGAGGACGACCAGCCACACUGGGACUGAGACACGGCCCAGACUCCUACGGGAGGCAGCAGUGGGAAUUUUGGACAAUGGGGGAAACCCUAGUCCAGCCAUCCCGCGUGUCACGAUGAAGGCGGGUUGUAAAGCACUUUUGGCAGGAAAGAAACGGCACGGGAUAAUACCCCGUGCAACUGACAGCCUGCAGAAUAAGCACCGGCUAACUACGUGCCAGCAGCCCGCGGUAAUACGUAGAGAUUGCAAGCGUUAAUCGGAAUUACUGGGCGUAAAGCGUGCGCAGGCGGUUGAAAGAAAGAUGUGGAAAUCCCAGGCUUAACUUUGGAACUGCGUACACCGCUACCGAGCUGAGUGUCGGGGAGGUGGAAUUCCGCGUGUAGCAGCAGUGAAAUGCGUGAUAUGCGGAGGAACACCGAUAGCGAAGGCAGCCUCCUGGGAUAACGGCGCUCAUG